AAGAGAGGAGGGCUGAAGGGGAUGCCUGGCUUCCUGCUGGCAUCAGCGGGGUGGAUGGAAUUCCGAAGAAGGGAGCUUGGGAACUGCAGAAUGCUUACUACAGAGACACCAGCCCCAAGCUAGGAGAUCCUGCCAUGGGCUUCAGGCUCCUCUGCUGUGUGGCCUUUUGUCUCCUGGGAGCAGGCCCAGUGGAUUCUGGAGUCACACAAACACCAAAGCACCUGAUCACAGCAAUUGGAAAACGAGUGACGCUGAGAUGCUCCCCUAGGUCUGGAGACCUCUCUGUGUACUGGUACCAACAGAGCCUGGACCAGGGCCUCCAGUUCCUCAUUCAGUAUUAUAAUGGGGAAGAGAGAGAAAGAGGAAACAUUCUUGAACGAUUCUCAGCACAACAGUUCCCUGACUUGCACUCUGAACUAAACCUGAGCUCUCUGGAGCUGGGGGAUUCGGCUUUGUAUUUCUGUGCCAGCAGCAUAGCACAGCCCUGCUUGAGCAUCAGCCUUCUGUGCAAUAACAUUCCUGCCCCACUCAGGAAGUGACGGUGAGGGGAGGGCUGCCAGCCAGAGGGGCUCAGGCCCUGGAGAGUGGACAGGCCUUUCCCAGGCACUCUCUGGUGCUUCUGUAUGUGAUCUGAUUUAAUGCUCACUGAAACUGUGUAAGCGAAGUAUUAUUUUACCUGUUCAUAUAUCUGAGGGACAGCAGAUGUCCUGGGGCUCAUAUUUAAUAGCUAGCUGAAGUCUGUUUUUUCAACACCUCUGCACUGUCCCUCCUCACUCCGGAGAUCUGUCCUUUUACCUGGUGUCCCCUUUUCAUGUCCCCAAGAGCAGGAUGCUAAGGUCAUGCAUGAAACUGUGAUCAUGAUAACUUCUUCCCUGACAAGUCCAGUGGACACAUGAUUUCCGGGCAAAACAUAUCCAUUUACUCUUUAUUGUGAUUAAAGAAAAAAGAAGAAAGAAAAGAAAGGUGCGGUUUUCUGCUCUGUAGCCCUCCUAUGGGCAAGGCCAGGUCAUCUCUUUUACGGAGACUGUAUGAGGAGGGAGCUUUCCUAGGUUGACAACAAACAGGCAGGAAAUGUUUUUUAUGGGGCAUGUGGUCUUCCUGUGCCGGAUGCAAUCUGCCAUCAGGGAAAGGACAUGAAAAAUUGUUAUUCAUUAGUUAAUAUUUUUUAUUCUUUUUUUUUUUUGAGGCGGAGUUUCACUCUUGUUGUCCAGGCUGGAGUAUAGUGGUGCUAUCUCGGCUAACUGCAACCUCCGUCCGCCUCCUGAGUUCAAGCGAUUCUCCUGCCUUAGCCUCCCAGGCGGCCUCCACCACACCUGGCCAGUUUUGUGUUUUUAGUAGAGAUGGGGUUUCUCCAUGUUGGCCAAGCUGGUCUCAAACUCCCAAUCUCAGGUGAUCCGCCUGCCUUGGCCUCCCAAUGUGCUGGGACUACAGGCGUGAGCCAUCGGGCCAGGCCCAUUUUUUAUUCUUUACCAAUAAAUCUUUUCAGGCAUCCUACUUUGUACAAGGGAUUAUAUCACAUGAAAUAUACAGUGAAAAAAAGAUAAUUGGAAAAAGGGGAAACUUUUAAAAAAUGAAGAAAAGGGUGUUUCUUGCAUUUGAGGGUUUCAAGGUCUGCAAUUCUUGGUAUAUUCUAAUUAGUUUACUUAGUUUCUGAUUUAUACGAAUUUACUCUUUCUUCUGUUUCUCUCUUUGGCUACCUACACCCUUUUGCCAGAUUUUUAAAAGUUUUCAGUAACAAUAUUUAACACGAGAUCUACCCUUUUAAUAGACUUAUAAGUGCACAAUACGGUUUUAUAAUCAUGAUAUAGUCAUGAUGUUGUUCAGCAGAUCUCUAGAUCUUAUUCAUCUUGCAUGAUUGAAAUUUUAUACCCAUUGGCAGCGACUCCCCAUUUACCCCAUUCCCCAGACCCUGGCCACUACCAUUCUAGUCUUUGCUUCCAUGAGUUGGACUAUUUUAGAUAACUCAUGUAAAUGACAUUAUGCAGAUUUUUGUCUUUUUGUGAUUCGCUUAUCUCAUUUAGCCUAAUGUCCUACCAAGUAUAGUGGUGAGUUUCACUUCUAUCUUCCAAAGUUCACACAAAUAGCUCGUUGACCAGCUGUAACCCAGAAUCAUAAAGAUAAAGGCAUUCUUAGACAUA